CUAAUUAGACCAUAAUAAUACUAAGUAAGCUUUAAUCAAAUUCAAAGAAACAUCAAAGGAAUUAUAAAGAAAUAAUAAAAAAUCUCAAAAAAAUAUUAAAUGAUUACAAACAUUUUUCAAAUACAUCUCAAUUCAAUCUUAAUUUAAUCCUAGUUGAAAUCCUAUUGGACUUCAUUCAAACUUUAGGCUAAAAACUAAUUAAAUCUUAAAUCCUAAAUAAAUUCAAAUAAAAUUCUAAAUCCUAAAUCAAAUCGUGAUCAAAUCCUAACCAAACCUUAAAUCCUAAACCAAACCCUAAAUCCUAAACCAAAUUCUAACCCUAAAUCAAAUCCUAACCAAAUCCUAAUCCUAACCAAAUCCUAACCCUAAAUCAAAUUCUAAUCAAAUCCUAAUCCUAAUCAAAUCCUAAUCCUAGCCAAAUCCUAAUCCUAACCAAAUCCUAAUCCUAAUCAAAUCCUAAUCCUAAAUCAAAUUCUAACCCUAAAUCAAAUUCUAAUCUUAAAUCAAACCCUAAACAAACCUAAAUAAAAUUCUAACCCUAAAUCAAAUACUAAAUCCUAAACCAAAUCCUAAUCCUAAAUCAAAUCCUAAUCAAAUCUUAAUCCUAAAUCAAACCCUAACCAUAUUUUACACCAAAUCCUAACCAAAUCCUAACCCUAAAUCAAAUCCUAAAUCAAAUCCUAAUCAAACUUUAAAUUCUAAACCAUAAUCUUAAAUCCUAAAUCAAAUCCUAAAUAGUAAAUCAAAUC
rnacentral:lncRNA from 1 species